GUACGAGUAUAUUUGAUUCAAUUCUGGUUUAUUUGUAUAACAAUUUGUAGCAUUCAUUAGCUUAUAUAGUUGCCCCUAUACAUAUGUAUAUAUAAUCGUUCUAUAUAAAUACAAAUUCAACACGACUUCAACUAGUUUUGUAACAUUACUUUAGUUUAAGCAAUCAAUCAAAUUAAAAAUAAAAAAAAAAAAUUUGUUUAUAUUUACUUUUGUGUACUUUGCUGAUUCGGAUUCUUCAGUUGAUUACGAGUAUAUUGUAUGUUUUAUUGGUAAAUUGUGGCAAUGGACUUGCCCUUCCCAUAUUGAUUGGAUUGUCAAAUUCUAUCACUCAAAGAAUGAUAAAUAUACUAUCGAAUACAUAUGGAAAAAGCUCGAAAGGAUUUUCGGAAUUGAGCUAUGGUGUAAUUCGAUUAUUUUCCAAUAAAUUGUAAUCAAUAAUUGUCUGAAUAAACCGACUUACAGUCUCAUAGUCAGGAAA